rnacentral:misc_RNA from 1 species
UGCCGAGCAGGAACUUGGCGUAAUCCCAGCCCUUGUUUUCCUGACCGACCAGAUUGGCGACCGGCACUUCGACGUCGUCGAAGAACACUUCGUUGACCUCAAAGCCGCCGUCGAUGGUCUGGAUCGGGCGCACGGUGAUGCCGCGCGACUUCAUGUCGAUCAGGAUGAAUGAGAUGCCCUCCUGCUUCUUCGCUUCCGGAUUGGUGCGGCACAGGCAGAAAAUCCAGUCA